GACAGAGGAUGCAAGCGUUAUCCGGAAUUAUUGGGCGUAAAGAGCUCGUAGGCGGCUUAGUAAGUCGGGUGUGAAAACUCUAGGCUCAACCUAGAGACGCCACCCGAUACUGCUAUAGCUAGAAUCCAGUAGGGGAGUGUGGAAUUCCCAGUGUAGCGGUGAAAUGCGCAGAUAUUGGGAGGAACACCAGCGGCGAAGGCGGCACUCUGGGCUGGUAUUGACGCUGAGGAGCGAAAGCGUGGGUAGCGAACAGG
rnacentral:rRNA from 1 species